rnacentral:rRNA from 1 species
AUCGAACGCUGGCGGCAGGCCUAACACAUGCAAGUCGAACGAGUGGCGGACGGGUGAGUAAUGUCUGGGAAAUUGCCUGAUGGAGGGGGAUAACUACUGGAAACGGUAGCUAAUACCGCAUACCAUCGGAUGUGCCCAGAGGGGAUUAGCUAGUAGGUGGGGUAAAGGCUCACCUGGGCGACGAUCCCUAGCUGGUCUGAGAGGAGGACCAGCCACACGGGAACGGAGAAACGGUCCAGAGGCCGACGGUAGGCAGCAGGGGGGAAUAUGGGACAAUGGGCGCAAGCCGGAUGCAGCCAUGCCGCGGGUAUGAAGAAGGCCUUCGGGUUGUAAAGUACUUUCAGCGGUGAGGCGUUACCCGCAGAAGAAGCACCGGCUAACUCCGUGCCAGCAGCCGCGGUAAUAC